GGGUUGUGAGGUUAAGCGAAUAAGCGUACACGGUGGAUGCCUAGGCAAUCAGAGGCGAUGAAGGACGUGCUAAUCUGCGAAAAGCGUCGGUAAGGUGAUAUGAACCGUUAUACCCGACGAUAUCCGAAUGGGGAAACCCAGUAUCCAAUGGAUACUAUCAUUAACUGAAUCCAUAGGUUAAUGAGGCGAACCGGGAGAACUGAAACAUCUCAGUACCCCGAGGAAAAGAAAUCAACCGAGAUUCCCCUAGUAGCGGCGAGCGAACGGGGAGCAGCCCAGAGUCUUAAUCAAUAGCAGUGUCAGGAGAACGGUCUGGAAAGUCCGGCAGUAAAGGGUGAUAGCCCCGUAUCUGAAGAUGCUGUUAUUGUGAACUCGACGAGUAGGGCGGGACACGUGUUAUCCUGUCUGAAUAUGGGGGGACCAUCCUCCAAGGCUAAAUACUCCUGAUUGACCGAUAGUGAACCAGUACCGUGAGGGAAAGGCGAAAAGAACCCCGGCGAGGGGAGUGAAAAAGAACCUGAAACCGUGUACGUACAAGCAGUAGGAGCCUCUUUAUGGGGUGACUGCGUACCUUUUGUAUAAUGGGUCAGCGACUUAUAUUCUGUAGCGAGGUUAACCGUAUAGGGGAGCCGUAGGGAAACCGAGUCUUAACUGGGCGAAUGAGUUGCAGGGUAUAGACCCGAAACCCGGUGAUCUAUCCAUGGGCAGGUUGAAGGUUGGGUAACACUAACUGGAGGACCGAACCGACUAAUGUUGAAAAAUUAGCGGAUGACUUGUGGAUGGGGGUGAAAGGCCAAUCAAACCGGGAGAUAGCUGGUUCUCCCCGAAAGCUAUUUAGGUAGCGCCUCGUGAACUCAUCUUCGGGGGUAGAGCACUGUUUCGACUAGGGGGUCAUCCCGACUUACCAACUCGAUGCAAACUGCGAAUACCGAAGAAUGUUAUCACGGGAGACACACGGCGGGUGCUAACGUCCGUCGUGAAGAGGGAAACAACCCAGACCGCCAGCUAAGGUCCCAAAGUCAUGGUUAAGUGGGAAACGAAGUGGGAAGGCUCAGACAGCCAGGAUGUUGGCUUAGAAGCAGCCAUCAUUUAAAGAAAGCGUAAUAGCUCACUGGUCGAGUCGGCCCGCGCGGAAGAUGUAACGGGGCUAAACCAUGCACCGAAGCUGCGGCAGCGACACAAAGUGUUGUUGGGUAGGGGAGCGUUCUGUAAGCCUGCGAAGGUGUACUGUGAGGUAUGCUGGAGGUAUCAGAAGUGCGAAUGCUGACAUAAGUAACGAUAAUGCGGGUGAAAAACCCGCACGCCGGAAGACCAAGGGUUCCUGUCCAACGUUAAUCGGGGCAGGGUGAGUCGACCCCUAAGGCGAGGCUGAAAAGCGUAGUCGAUGGGAAACGGGUUAAUAUUCCCGUACUGGUGGUAACUGCGAUGGGGGAACGGAGAAGGCUAGGUUGUCCGGGCGACGGUCGUCCCGGUUCAAGCAGGUAGGCAGAGUGAUUAGGCAAAUCCGGUCACUUAAUGCUGAGAUGUGAUGACGAACCACCAAGGUGGUGAAGCAAUUGAUGCCCCGCUUCCAGGAAAAGCCUCUAAGCUUCAGGUUACCAACAAUCGUACCCCAAACCGACACAGGUGGUCAGGUAGAGAAUACUCAGGCGCUUGAGAGAACUCGGGUGAAGGAACUAGGCAAAAUGGUGCCGUAACUUCGGGAGAAGGCACGCUGGCGGUAGGUAAAGUCCCUCGCGGACGGCGCUGAAGCCAGUCGAAGAUACCAGCUGGCUGCAACUGUUUAUUAAAAACACAGCACUGUGCAAACACGAAAGUGGACGUAUACGGUGUGACGCCUGCCCGGUGCUGGAAGGUUAAUUGAUGGGGUUAGCCGUAAGGCGAAGCUCCUGAUCGAAGCCCCAGUAAACGGCGGCCGUAACUAUAACGGUCCUAAGGUAGCGAAAUUCCUUGUCGGGUAAGUUCCGACCUGCACGAAUGGCGUAAUGAUGGCCAGGCUGUCUCCACCCGAGACUCAGUGAAAUUGAACUCGCUGUGAAGAUGCAGUGUACCCGCGGCAAGACGGAAAGACCCCGUGAACCUUUACUAUAGCUUGACACUGAACAUUGAGCCUUGAUGUGUAGGAUAGGUGGGAGGCUUUGAAGUGUGGACGCCAGUCUGCAUGGAGCCAACCUUGAAAUACCACCCUUUAACGUUUGAUGUUCUAACCUAGGCCCAUAAACUGGGUCGGGGACCGUGUCUGGUGGGUAGUUUGACUGGGGCGGUCUCCUCCUAAAGAGUAACGGAGGAGCACGAAGGUUGGCUAAGCAUGGUCGGACAUCAUGCGGUUAGUGCAAAGGCAUAAGCCAGCUUGACUGCGAGAGUGACGGCUCGAGCAGGUACGAAAGUAGGUCUUAGUGAUCCGGUGGUUCUGAAUGGAAGGGCCAUCGCUCAACGGAUAAAAGGUACUCCGGGGAUAACAGGCUGAUACCGCCCAAGAGUUCAUAUCGACGGCGGUGUUUGGCACCUCGAUGUCGGCUCAUCACAUCCUGGGGCUGAAGUAGGUCCCAAGGGUAUGGCUGUUCGCCAUUUAAAGUGGUACGCGAGCUGGGUUUAGAACGUCGUGAGACAGUUCGGUCCCUAUCUGCCGUGGGCGUUGGAAGAUUGAGAGGGGUUGCUCCUAGUACGAGAGGACCGGAGUGAACGCACCACUGGUGUUCGGGUUGUCAUGCCAAUGGCAUUGCCCGGUAGCUAAGUGCGGAAGAGAUAACCGCUGAAAGCAUCUAAGCGGGAAACUUGCCUCGAGAUGAGUCUUCCCUGUCGCUUUAAGCGACCUAAAGGAACGUUUAAGACUAAGACGUUGAUAGGCUGGGUGUGUAAGCGUAGCGAUACGUUGAGCUAACCAGUACUAAUGAACCGUGAGGCUUAACCUGACAACACCGAAAGUGUUUUG
rnacentral:rRNA from 1 species